ACCUUUAGGAGGGGGAUAACAACUGGAAACGGAUUGCUAAUACCCCAAUAUGCUUUCGAGUGAAAUGGAUUUAUCCGCCUAGAGAGGAGCUCGCGGCUGAUUAGCUUGUUGGUAGGGUAAUGGCCUACCAAGGCGACGAUCAGUAUCUGGUUUGAGAGGACGAUCAGACACACUGGAACUGAGACACGGUCCAGACUCCUACGGGAGGCAGCAGUGGGGAAUUUUCCGCAAUGGGCGAAAGCCUGACGGAGCAAUACCGCGUGAGGGAAGACGGCCUAUGGGUUGUAAACCUCUUUUCUCANGGAGGAACUCAAUGACGUGUACCUGAGGAAUAAGCAUCGGCUAACUCCGUGCCAGCAGCCGCGGUAAGACGGAGGAUGCNAGUGUUAUCCGGAAUCACUGGGCGUAAAGCGUCUGUAGGUGGUUUAAUAAGUCAACUGUUUAAAUCUUGAAGCUCAACUUCAAAAUCGCAGUCGAAACUAUUAGACUANAGUAUAGUAGGGGUAAAGGGAAUUUCCAGUGCAGCGGNGAAAUGCGU
rnacentral:rRNA from 1 species